rnacentral:rRNA from 1 species
UACAGAGGUCUCAAGCGUUGUUCGGAUUCAUUGGGCGUAAAGGGUGCGUAGGUGGCGCGGUAAGUCGGGUGUGAAAUUUCGGAGCUUAACUCCGAAACUGCAUUCGAUACUGCCGUGCUUGAGGACUGGAGAGGAGACUGGAAUUUACGGUGUAGCAGUGAAAUGCGUAGAGAUCGUAAGGAAGACCAGUGGCGAAGGCGGCUCACUGGCCCGAUACUGACGCUGAGGCACGAAAGCGUGGGGAGCAAACAGG